rnacentral:rRNA from 1 species
AACCCCAAUUAAUAGAAUUACGGCGUAAAACGUGUUUUAGAAUUUCAAUUAACUAAAGUCAAACCCUAGCUAUGCUGUAAAAAGCCCUAGCUACCGUAAGAUCUACCACGAAAGUGACUUUAAACACUCUGAACACACGACAGCUAAGACCCAAACUGGGAUUAGAUACCCCACUAUGCUUAGCCUUAAACCUAGAAAAUUAUUAUAACAAGAUUCUUUGCCAGAGUACUACAAGCCAAAGCUUAAAACUUAAGGGACUUGGCGGUGCUUCAUAUCCCCCUAGAGGAGCCUGUUCUAUAAUCGAUAAACCCCGAUAAACCUCACCAAUUCUUGCCAAUC